rnacentral:lncRNA from 1 species
UAUUUUAUUCUGCCACUUAUGUUAAAAAUCCAUUCACCUUCAAACCCUAAGUUCAUCAGCGCCGCAUCAUUUCUCUCCCUGAAAACCCUAAGUCUUUUCUCGCCGAUUUGUUGUUUCCUCGCCGAUUUCUCCUUCGGCGUCAGUCGAUUUGUUGUUUCCUCGCCGAUUUCCCCUUCGGCCUCCAAUUUCUCGUCGCCCCACCCCUGAUUUAUGGAUCAAGAACAGAUUCUCACUUCUCUCUGUUCAGCCGGUGAUUCUACCGAAGAAUCACCGGAUCUGUUACCAUCUCCGAUGGAUCUCGGAACCACCGGUGAUUCUACCGAAGAAUCACCCGAUUUGUUGUUCCCCCCUUUGGUUUUCGGUGAUACGGCGCCAAUGACGGAGUCUUCUCCGACGUUUUCAGACGUUUUGACGGCGACCCACUUUGAAGCUUUGUCCUUUCCGUCUUGGGCUUUGGAGCCGGACACUGUGGU